GUGGGGAAUAUUGGACAAUNGGGGCAACCCUGAUCCAGCCAUGCCGCGUGUGUGAAGAAGGCUUUCGGGUUGUAAAGCACUUUCAGUGAGGAGGAAAACCUUACGAUUAAUACUCGUGAGGCUUGACGUUACUCACAGAAGAAGCACCGGCUAACUCCGUGCCAGCAGCCGCGGUAAUACGGAGGGUGCAAGCGUUAAUCGGAAUUACUGGGCGUAAAGCGCGCGUAGGUGGUUUGAUAAGCGAGAUGUGAAAGCCCCGGGCUUAACCUGGGAACGGCAUUUCGAACUGUCAGGCUAGAGUGUGGUAGAGGGUAGUGGAAUUUCCUGUGUAGCGGUGAA
rnacentral:rRNA from 1 species